UACAUAGGGUGCGAGCGUUAAUCGGAAUUACUGGGCGUAAAGCGUGCGCAGGCGGUAAUGCAAGACAGAUGUGAAAUCCCCGGGCUUAACCUGGGAACUGCAUUGUGACUGCAUUGCUGGAGUGCGGCAGAGGGGGAUGGAAUUCCGCGUGUAGCAGUGAAAUGCGUAGAUAUGCGGAGGAACACCGAUGGCGAAGGCAAUCCCCUGGGCCUGCACUGACGCUCAUGCACGAAGCGUGG
rnacentral:rRNA from 1 species